GGGGGUGACUGGAUUCGACAGAUAGACAAAGAUAAUAACUGCAUGUACUGGUUGAUCGAAGGGCCAGUUAAAAAAUCGAUUAAACUAUUUUAAUUGCCGAGCAUAGCUUAGCACUCGCUGCCUAGCAGUGCGGGGUUGUCCUAGACCUUGUUACCCAAUUAGGACAAAGGGUUACGUUUCCCGUAGUUGUUGAGAUUCACCUUGUUAUCUAGUUCAGUCUAGAUUCAGGUCAUCAUCUCAAAACAAACUAAAAAACGAUUUUCUUGAGUGAGUUUAAACAUGUAGACGUUAUUAUUUGAGUUUAUGCUGGACGGGGGUUCGAUUCCCCCCACCUCCACUG
rnacentral:tmRNA from 1 species